UACGAAGGGGGCUAGCGUUGCUCGGAAUCACUGGGCGUAAAGGGUGCGUAGGCGGGUUUUUAAGUCAGAGGUGAAAUCCUGGAGCUCAACUCCAGAACUGCCUUUGAUACUGAAAGUCUUGAGUAUGGGAGAGGUGAGUGGAACUGCGAGUGUAGAGGUGAAAUUCGUAGAUAUUCGCAAGAACACCAGUGGCGAAGGCGGCUCACUGGCCCAUUACUGACGCUGAGGCACGAAAGCGUGGG
rnacentral:rRNA from 1 species